rnacentral:tRNA from 3 species
GGGGGUUUAGCUCAGCUGGGAGAGCGCCUGCCUUGCAAGCAGGAGGUCAGCGGUUCGAACCCGCUAAUCUCCACCA